rnacentral:rRNA from 1 species
UACAGAGGUCCCAAGCGUUGUUCGGAUUCACUGGGCGUAAAGGGUGCGUAGGUGGCAGGGUAAGUUUGGUGUGAAAGCUCGGAGCUCAACUCCGAAAUGGCAUUGAAUACUAUCCUGCUUGGAGGGUCGGAGGGGAGACUGGAAUUCUCGGUGUAGCAGUGAAAUGCGUAGAGAUCGAGAGGAACACCAGUGGCGAAGGCGAGUCUCUGGACGACACCUGACACUGAGGCACGAAAGCUAGGGGAGCAAACAGG